UGACUGGUUGCAGAACUGAGGUUAUGCAUGGGCCAAACAGCCUGGCCUCCCACUUGUCAAGGCUGCUCCAGCUACUGCUACACACCUGCUAGCUACAGAGACCAACACUGACUCCCUGAUAUGGCACCAUUUAUUGAGGAGACCAAUUGGUGACGUGGUGGCAAACUGACUGCAUUGGGCAUCUUGCUUUUCUUACCCAGUAAUCCCAAAAUACCUGGUAAUCCCUCAAAGUCAACUGGCAGAGCUCUACUUUAUUUUUUCUACUAGAACGAAGCUGAAGAGAACAUCCUUUUAUGUGCUGAAAACAUUUUGACCAAAAAGAAGAAAGCAUAUGGAGGAAAUGGAAACCAGGAAUAAUUCACAUAAACUAUUUUAAAUGCAAAACACACACUCCCAAAGUCUGGGGAUAUACCCAUCAGCUCAAAGAAAGGAAAAGUAAUGCUGCAUUAAGAAGUUAAAGCUGGCCUCUGUUAGGAACAGCUGGACUGCACACCUCAAUGAGAGUAUUUGAAAGGAACACCUGUGACUGUCAACGAGCUGC
rnacentral:lncRNA from 1 species